UGGUCGCUCAGUAAUCAGUGUAGAUCCUGUAAUUCAAAUCAGCAGCUACAUCUGGCUACUGGGUCUCUA
rnacentral:pre_miRNA from 1 species